rnacentral:rRNA from 1 species
AACGAACGCUGGCGGCAGGCCUAACACAUGCAAGUCGAGCGAGAUCUUCGGGUCUAGCGGCGGACGGGUGAGUAACGCGUGGGAAUAUGCCCUUCUCUGCGGAAUAGCCUCGGGAAACUGAGCGUAAUACCGCAUACGCCCUUUGGGGGAAAGAUUUAUCGGAGAAGGAUUAGCCCGCGUUGGAUUAGGUAGUUGGUGGGGUAACGGCCUACCAAGCCGACGAUCCAUAGCUGGUUUGAGAGGAUGAUCAGCCACACUGGGACUGAGACACGGCCCAGACCCCCACGGGAGGCGGCGGUGGGGAUUCUUAGAAAAGGGGGGCACCCCUAAUCUACCCAUGCCGGGUGAGUGAAGAGGCCCUUGGGUUUGAAAACCUUUUUCGGUUGGGAAAAAAAGGAGGGCCCCAGAAAAAGAACCCCGGCCUACCCCCGUC